GGUGAGGGUAGUGUCAUUUGUGGCGAUGGCCAGUGAAGGACAGGAGAGGGAAGGGAUGGAUAGCAGUUGUGAAUCAAUAUCAGCCGACAGCUGCUGGAGAUCAAAAGAAUUAAGGUUCCUCCUGAGUUGAGGGAUGUUAGGAUGAGGUUGUUGGGUGAGGAGGUACACGAGAGUAAACAAUAAGAGGUGGUGAUCAGAGAGAGGAAAUAGAGUGUUGCAGAUGUUAGAUACUGUACAU